GAUGAAGAACGUAGCGAAAUGCGAUAAGUAAUGUGAAUUGCAGAAUUCAGUGAAUCAUCGAAUCUUUGAACGCACCUUGCACUCCUUGGUAUUCCGAGGAGUACGCCUGUUCGAGUGUUAUGAAGCUCUCAAAACGCAAUUGGCUUAAAACCUGAUUGUUGUUUUGGAUUUGAACUUUGCCGUGUUAUAACGGCUGGUUUUAAAAGUAUUAGCUGGUACUAGAACGAAUUGGUUCUACUCAACGUGAUAAUUAUCUGAUCGGUGAGGACAUUCCUUUCACGAGGAAUGGCCAUAGUAAAUUCAAUGGACUGCUUCUAAUCUGGCUUUAAUUCUUUAUUGGAUUAACCACUUUUCAAAUCUGACCUCGAAUCAGGUGGGACUACCCGCUGAACUUAAGCAUAUCAAAAGCGGAGGA
rnacentral:misc_RNA from 1 species